rnacentral:rRNA from 1 species
CCUACGGGAGGCAGCAGUAAGGAAUAUUGGUCAAUGGACGAAAGUCUGAACCAGCCAUGCCGCGUGAAGGAUGACGGCCCUCUGGGUUGUAAACUUCUUUUAUAGGGGACGAAAAAAGGGUAUUCUUACUCACUUGACGGUACCCUAGGAAUAAGCACCGGCUAACUCCGUGCCAGCAGCCGCGGUAAUACGGAGGGUGCAAGCGUUAUCCGGAUUCACUGGGUUUAAAGGGUGCGUAGGUGGGUCUAUAAGUCAGUGGUGAAAUCUCCGAGCUUAACUCGGAAACUGCCAUUGAUACUAUAGGCCUUGAAUUAUCUGGAGGUAAGCGGAAUAUGUCAUGUAGCGGUGAAAUGCUUAGAUAUGACAUAGAACACCAAUUGCGAAGGCAGCUUACUACGGAUAUAUUGACACUGAGGCACGAAAGCGUGGGGAUCAAACAGGAUUAGAUACCCUGGUAGUCCACGCCCUAAACUAUGGAUACUCGACAUCAGCGAUACACUGUUGGUGUCUGAGCGAAAGCAUUAAGUAUCCCACCUGGGAAGUACGACCGCAAGGUUGAAACUUAAAGGAAUUGAGG